AUUGAACGCUGGCGGCAGGCCUAACACAUGCAAGUCGAGCGGAUGAGUGGAGCUUGCUCCAUGAUUCAGCGGCGGACGGGUGAGUAAUGCCUAGGAAUCUGCCUGGUAGUGGGGGACAACGUUUCGAAAGGAACGCUAAUACCGCAUACGUACUACGGGAGAAAGUGGGGGAUCUUCGGACCUCACGCUAUUAGAUGAGCCUAGGACGGAUUAGCUAGUUGGUGAGGUAAAGGCUCACCAAGGAGACGAUCCGUAACUGGUCUGAGAGGAUGAUCAGUCACACUGGAACUGAGACACGGUCCAGACUCCUACGGGAGGCAGCAGUGGGGAAUAUUGGACAAUGGGCGAAAGCCUGAUCCAGCCAUGCCGCGUGUGUGAAGAAGGUCUUCGGAUUGUAAAGCACUUUAAGUUGGGAGGAAGGGCAGUAAGUUAAUACCUUGCUGUUUUGACGUUACCAACAGAAUAAGCACCGGCUAACUUCGUGCCAGCAGCCGCGGUAACAC
rnacentral:rRNA from 1 species